GGGCCGAUAGCUCAGCUUGGCGGAGCGUUCGACUGAUAAUCGAAAGGUCGAGGGUUCAAAUCCCUUUCGGCCCA
rnacentral:tRNA from 1 species